AACUGGGUGGCUGCCCCUGGGGGACCUGGACUCCACCAGGUGGAAGCCAUUUGGAGAGGGGAGAAGCCAGGUCAAGCUUGGGCAGACAGGACCCAAAGGACCUCGGCCCUGGGCAGUUUCCUUGUCUGACCCCUCAGAUCUCCUGUCACUGCUACUGGGUCUUCCUCCUGAUAGGUCCUUCUGUGUGACAACCAUUUUCCUCUCAAGAAAGCAAAAGGAGCAGAAGAGAGGAAGCAACAGAUGAGAAUGCCCGGCUCCCAGCAGGGGAAGAGAAGCUGUGGGGCUGAAGCCCAAAGAGUCCAGGCCACAGCUUGUGUGCAGAGCCUUAAAGCUGUAUACACACAAGAAACACUGAAGCCCUGGUCCAAGCGGACAUACGGCAGUUGACACAGGUACUCACUCCCUCAGACUUCUUGUCAGGGAAGACGCACGUGGACCCUCCAGCUGUGAAAUUGCAGUAGACUUUGAAGGAGUCCCUGGAGCACCCUUGGUUGGGAUCGACCCAGUAUUCACCUGGAUUUCAGAGACAGGGAGGCAGAUUCAUGAGAAUGGCUCCCUGGACUGUCCGCAGAAGCCACCGCAACAUUUCAGCCUAGCUGUUAAAUGCACAGCCAGGGCCAUAAAGCCACCGACACCGCCUCCUUUCCUGUCUCACAGUACUUUGCUUUUCCUGAGGGGAGCAUAAAGAG
ensembl:processed_transcript Gm13372 predicted gene 13372